AGAUGCGAUCAUACCAGCACUAAAGCACCGGAUCCCAUCAGAACUCCGAAGUUAAACUUGCUUGGGCGAGAGUAGUACUAGGAUGGGUGACCUCUUGGGAAGUCCUCGUGUUGCAUUCC
rnacentral:rRNA from 1 species